rnacentral:lncRNA from 1 species
GGGAUAAAAUUUGGAUCUUGGACUUAGAGAUUCACAGCUUAUCUGCUUAUUUCAUAAAAUACACUGGCAUGUAUGUGCACGUUUUAACAUGUCAAAAAUAUUGAAUUUCUUUGUUCCUGAUAAGAUUUUUCAAGGCAAAAUAAGCAGAAAUUUAGGUGAUUAUUUUUAAUUUCACCCACACAUGUACAUAUAUAUUCAUUUUGUGGUGAAGACUGAAUAUAGGAUCUUGUAUGUGCUAAGCAUACACUACUUUUCUGAAAUAUAUAUAUAUGUGUGUGUGUGUGUGUAUGUAUGUAUGUAUGUAUGUAUGUAUGCAUAUAUAUAUUGGAAUAUACAUAUCCAUAUAUAUGGAAUAUACUAAAAUUAUUAAACCCUUUGCUAUUGCAACAUAUAAAGAUAUAAAGUAACAUGCCAGCUUUUUUCUAUAUGAAAUCAGUAUAAUUUUCAACAGUAGUUCAUCAACUUAUUUACUUUAUUUUGAUGUCUUUGCUAGAUGAUUUUUGUAGUUGCAUCUUCCUAUAUGAUCUUUGUGUUUUCCAUAAAAUCCUUAAAAAAAAAAAAAGAAGAAGAAGAAAGUCUUGCAUCUCAGAAUAGGGAGGUUGUUUUACUGUGUCCCAUGCUGAUCACUAACCAUGGACAGUGCACACUUCAUCCCAGUUGCCCUUGAGAACAAUGGACAUUAUCUUUGACAGUCUCUCCCAAACUGUGUUUUGAGGAAACCUAGCAUACAAGGGAUAUGAAUAAUUGUUCUUGAAUGGAACUGUGAAACGGUCGAUAAAGUUUAGAAGCUCCAUACUGAAUCUCCCUCUAGGAGAUUCAUAUUGCACAUUAAAAUAUUAAAGACUGUAAGAGGUACUGAUAUAAAGACACCCCUUCAGGUUUUGUUAACUCGGGCUUAACUGAGCCUUGGUUAUCAAGGAAUCUCUAUUGAUGAAAUACCUAUUAAAGUAAUGUAAGGCCUCAGAAUUCCCUAUAAUGCAGUUUGUAAAACACCAAUUGUCCAUUUGGAGAGCAUAUGACUGUCAAUCACAGACAUGCCGUGAACUGACUGCAUAGUGUCUGCUCCCUCCUUUACCAUGGCAUCCAACAGAGCAGUCUGCCCAGCUUAAAUCACCUUGACAAACAUGAAUCCCACAAACUGCAUGAAGAAUGAGUGCUAACAAUUUCCUCCUGUAGAAUCUGCAUCCUCAGUUCUCAUCAUUGUUCCGACUCAUCCAUCUUCUCUGAUGCAUUUACCUGUUGGGUUACUAUGUCCGUGGCUUCUCUACCCAUUCUUGCAAGUGAUUUCAGUCGCCAUGCAGGUAACUGCUGCAGUGUGGCUUUGGAUUUUCCUUUAGCUCUAUGUGCUAAGAGCGUGUUCCAAAGCAUGGCACUGUUCACAAGUGAUGGAACAGUCAAAGGGAAGGACCUAUUUAUUAGGACCUUGCCCUGAUCAGGGUACACUGGUCUUCUGUUUCCUGAUGAGGGUACACGUGAUUCCACAUUCUCAUAUGCUUCUUCCCUCAUUGGCUGACUUCCUUCUGACUCCAAAUUAAUGGCACCAGUCCAUCCUAGGCUAGAACUACCAAUGCUAGAUAGCAAAGUAAAUAUUUCUUUUGUUUCUAAUUGAUCACUGCAGGCAUGUGUCACAGUGGUAGUAGAACUUUUAGUGAUGUAGUGAUCUUUAUAGACUACUGAAUACUCCUGUCACUCUGUCACAUAUCAAUCACCCAGCCACACUUUCAUUUAACAAAAUGAUAAUAAACAGUUUUUUGUCCCCAGUAUAUUCAACAACUACUAUGUGUGUUAUAAUGAUGCUUUUAUACACUAAGAAAACAUAUCUUAACUCUAAACUCACUGUUCUUCUCAAGAAGACAACAUAUGCUCCUUAUAUUGCCUUCUUGGUUUAAAUUAGUUGCUAGUCAUAAUGAAGUAAUGAUGGUACAAUCAACUUUCUCACAUCUUAAACUCUUUCUACAAAUAUUUUUUAUGGAGUUAUUUGCUUUUUUUUGCUUGCUUUUUUUAUUAAUUUAUUUUUUUACACUCCAUAUUUUAUCCUCACCCCUGUCCACCUGCUGACUGUUUCAUAUCCCUAACCUCCUCACCACACCCCUGAAUCCACGUGGAUGUCCCAAAUCCUCACCCAACCCGACCUUCAAACUUCCUGGGGCCUCCAGUCUCUCGAGGGUUAGGUGCAUCAUCUGGAUGAACACAGACCCAGCAGGCCUCUACUGUGUGUGUGUGUUAGAGGCCUCAUAUCAGCUGGUGUAGGCUGCCUGUUUGGUGGUUCAGUUUUUGAGAGAUGGCAGGGUUCCAGAUUAAGUGAGACUGCUGGUCCUCCUGAGGUCCCAAGGCCUGACACUAUUACUGAGGCUAUGGAGCACUCACAAAAAGGAACCUAACAUGGCUGCACUCUGGAAGACCGAAGAAGCAGCUGAAAGAGUCAGAUGCAGAUAUUUGCACCCAACCAAUGGGAAGAAGCAGCUGACCCCAGUUGUUGAAUUAAGAAAGGCUGAAAGGAGCUGAGGAGAAGGUAGAUCCUGUAGGAGGACCAGCAGUCUAUAAACAUUUUUGAAACCUAAAUACCAAGGUCAACUCUCUGGAUGUCUAAACCUAUGCAACCAAUACAAAGUAGUAUUAUUCUUCAUCCAAUAGCAUCUAAGAUGAAGAGACCCACAAACAAACACCAGUUGAUGGUCAAGGAGCCUUUGUGGAAGAGUAAGGUGGUAGAACUGAGCGAGCUGGAGUGGUCAAAGCCAUCACAAGAAGACCUAAAGAGUCAACUAGGCUGCAGUUCUUUCAUACAGGAACAAUUAUGGGUCAGAGUUUUUGACUUUGGGAUAUUUUAUCACUCAGUCUUUCUCAUUUUUAUUAGCUCCUUGGGAAUUUUAUUACAAAAAUACUCUUCUCUCACAUAAUACAUUCACACCACAGUUUCCAUCAAAUCCUCUCAUUGAGUCUGGACUAGGCAAGCCAGUAAGAAGAAAAGCGCCUCUGGAGCAGACAGACGAAUCAGAGACACACCUUCUCCUGCUGUAAGGAGUCCCACAAAGGCUUCCCCCUAACAGUCGUAGCAUAAACACAGAGGACCUGGCGCAGAGCAGUGCAAGCCCUAGGCUUGCUAGUUUACUCUCUUUGAGCCCAUGUGAGCCUGGUUGGUUAACGUUCUCCAGGUAGUCAACGCCAUCUAAUUUAGACGUUCUCUCCACAUAAUGUCUGCCUUGUCACAUGACAACUAAGCAAGGCCCUGAUCCAUGAGUACAGCAGAUUAUCAUUAGGAAUAAUUUCAUUGAUUUUCUUUUUUGUUUGGCUAGUUGUGAUUGGCUUUACUCUAGGUCUCUGGGCUAUCCAGUCUCUGGUCCGCAGUCAUCCAGGCAUGAUCAGGCAUGGACUUCCUCUUCCGACAUGGGCCUCAAGUUAAACCACACACUGGUAGGCCAGUUCUACAAGUUCUGCACCACCAUUUCCCCAGCACAUCUAGUACACAGGACUGACUUGAUGGAAGGGUUUGAGGCUGGGUUAGAUUCAGGUUUCAAUUUCAGUAGUGUACAGAGUACCUUCCUGAACCAAAAUGAAUAGGAAGUAAGGAUGCAGGCUUGAUGCAGGCUCCAGCUCAAUCUCUCCAUGUUCAGUAGGCUGAAUAGAUAUUAUCCUUGGCAAGUACCCCCUCUAAGAUUUGGCGUAGAGCCACCCUCUGUCCUAGCAACAACUACUAUAUCUUGGCAGAUUCUUUCAAAGUAAUCUAACUGGAUUAUUUAUUAUGUUACUAUCGACUGUAUACUUAUUUCUAGAAAACAGAAAGUUUGCUUCAGACACAGCAUACAAGUUAGUCAUAAGACCGAAACUCAUACAAAGGAAAAAAUGGUAGUAGUUUUAGCAGCUUUUAUACACAUGUGGGUAAAACACUACUAUACAUUAAAAAAUAGCUGUGGUUAGGGGUAAUUUCUUUAACAUUUCUAGGAGACAAAAUAUCAGAGUAUACUUCCUCUUCUUCUAGCUUUUCCAGUGUUUUCUCUCACUCUACCAUAAUAACCCCUGUCUGUAAGUACUGAAGUUGUAAUAAAUAAACCUUUGAAAACAAACAAACAAACAUACUGAUGAGACAAAAAAAAAAUCAAAAAAAAAAUCAAGGAAACAAAAGAACAUCUCAUGUUAUAGAGCCAUGGUUUUUGUUCUUAGUAUGUAUGGGACCAAUCCUACAAACCAAAACUAUGGCUCAAUUCUAAAGCUCUCUAGAUAAAAGGUCAAGAUUCUAGGAUGGUUCUAACAAAAGAACUGAGAGAGUAAAGAGAAGUAUCUUUAGUAAACAGAGCAUGAGAAGCCAUGAAGGCUCAUAUGCCAUCACGACAUUAAUCAUUCUUGACACUAGCUGGGGGACACCUUUUUCUUCUGGGUUUUCACAAUGCAACAUCCCUAAAAAAUUUAAAUAAAUAUAUUACCUGUUACUUUAUUGGACACUACAUUGCUAUACUUGGAAUGCUUAAGGAGGAUGAAAGUUAGAGGAGCUCUCCCCGCUAGUGUAAGCAAUGUGCAUCAAAUGUGAUACCAAGAGCACAUUACUUUGCCUAUUAUUUCAAGGUAUAUUGAAAAUUAUUUAAAAGUCAUUUUUCUAUGGUCACUAUCACUGAUUUUUUAUAAUACAUACACACACACACACAUAUAUAUAAUCAUACAUAUGUUUUCAGACAUAGAUUUCCUAGCAUUUCUUUUUUUUUCAUU